AUUAGACUUAAACCAUCCACCACUUGGCAUUUCUAAAUUGGUGCAUGAAUUGCACGCCUACUUACAUUGAUUUCAGCUAGCAUAAUAUUUACAUACUUGGUACACCUUACAGAAAAUGAGGAGAAAAGACAGUACAAAAGAAGGAACAAAUUGAUAUGACAAAUUGAUAUGUAGUUCACAAGAAAUAACAACUCAGUUCAGCAGAAAUUCAGAAAGCAUCACAGAGUCUUUUUUUUUAUAAACUAUUA
rnacentral:misc_RNA from 1 species